rnacentral:misc_RNA from 1 species
GAAGUGCGAUAAGUAAUGUGAAUUGCAGAAUUCGUGAAUCAUCAAAUUUUUGAACGCAUAUUGCACUCAGGGUUCACCUUGAGUAUACUUGUUUGAGUGUCACUUUAUUCAUUCAUUAUCUUUAAAUAAUGGACAUUGAUUAUCACAUUUUUAUGUGUUAAUUUAAAAGAAAGUACACUUUAUUUUAUAGUAUGUUAGUUGUUAUUAUAAUGUAGUGAAUUAAUACUUACUCAUUAUUAGACUAAUAUAAUUCAAAUAAAGAUGUAAACAAGUAAGAGAUUUAAAAUCUCAAUAACAACAAAUAUCUGACCUCAAAUCAAGUAACAAUACCCGCUGAAUUUAA